rnacentral:rRNA from 1 species
UUACACAUGCAAGUCGAACGGCAGCACGGGCUUCGGCCUGGUGGCGAGUGGCGAACGGGUGAGUAAUAUAUCGGAACGUACCCAAGAGUGGGGGAUAACGUAGCGAAAGUUACGCUAAUACCGCAUACGAUCUAAGGAUGAAAGUGGGGGAUCGCAAGACCUYRUGCUCCUGGAGCGGCCGAUAUCUGAUUAGCUAGUUGGUGAGGUAAAGGCUCACCAAGGCGACGAUCAGUAGCUGGUCUGAGAGGACGACCAGCCACACUGGAACUGAGACACGGUCCAGACUCCUACGGGAGGCAGCAGUGGGGAAUUUUGGACAAUGGGCGCAAGCCUGAUCCAGCAAUGCCGCGUGAGUGAAGAAGGCCUUCGGGUUGUAAAGCUCUUUUGUCAGGGAAGAAACGGUAGAGGCUAAUAUCCUUUGCUAAUGACGGUACCUGAAGAAUAAGCACCGGCUAACUACGUGCCAGCAGCCGCGGUAAUACGUAGGGUGCAAGCGUUAAUCGGAAUUACUGGGCGUAAAGCGUGCGCAGGCGGUUUUGUAAGUCUGUCGUGAAAGCCCCGGGCUCAACCUGGGAAUUGCGAUGGAGACUGCAAGGCUUGAAUCUGGCAGAGGGGGGUAGAAUUCCACGUGUAGCAGUGAAAUGCGUAGAGAUGUGGAGGAACACCGAUGGCGAAGGCAGCCCCCUGGGUCAAGAUUGACGCUCAUGCACGAAAGCGUGGGGAGCAAACAGGAUUAGAUACCCUGGUAGUCCACGCCCUAAACGAUGUCUACUAGUUGUCGGGUUUUAAUUAACUUGGUAACGCAGCUAACGCGUGAAGUAGACCGCCUGGGGAGUACGGUCGCAAGAUUAAAACUCAAAGGAAUUGACGGGGACCCGCACAAGCGGUGGAUGAUGUGGAUUAAUUCGAUGCAACGCGAAAAACCUUACCUACCCUUGACAUGUCAGGAAGGCCGGAGAGAUCUGGCUGUGCCCGAAAGG